AUAAUUUAAACUAAACUUUUUUGAACAAGGUUGCAUAAUUUAUUAAAUAAUAAUUUUU
rnacentral:tRNA from 1 species